ACAAUAAUUGAAAGGAGAGAUGGUUGGUAUCUCCCCCGACAGGGAUGGGAAAAGCCUUUGGGCUUCACCUAAUACUAUCACAUUCGGCUAAGGCUUCCCACUUCGGUGGAUUUAUGUCGGAAU